GACGAACGCUGGCGGCGUGCUUAACACAUGCAAGUCGAGCGGUAAGGCCCUUUCGGGGGUACACGAGCGGCGAACGGGUGAGUAACACGUGGGUGACCUGCCCUCAGCUCUGGGAUAAGCCUGGGAAACUGGGUCUAAUACCGGAUAUGACUCCAUGACGCAUGUUGUGGGGUGGAAAGCCUUGUGCGGCUGGGGAUGGGCCCGCGGCCUAUCAGCUUGUUGGUGGGGUGAUGGCCUACCAAGGCGACGACGGGUAGCCGGCCUGAGAGGGCGACCGGCCACACUGGGACUGAGGCACGGCCCAGACUCCUACGGGAGGCAGCAGUGGGGAAUCUUGCGCAAUGGGCGAAAGCCUGACGCAGCGACGCCGCGUGAGGGAUGACGGCCU
rnacentral:rRNA from 1 species